UUGCAGCUGCGUGAGCGAUAGGAGCAAGUAUCCUGCCCGACGAAAGGAAGGCAGAUACUGCGGAUAGCGCGACCCCGC
rnacentral:misc_RNA from 1 species